CUGCCUCACUGUCUUCGUCUUCUUUACCUGUUCAUCUGUGUCUUCAUCUUCAACGCUCUUCGACAUCAUUCAACUGCGUCACUAGGCCUGGACCCUUAACCUACAACCUGCAAAGCCGACCCAAUCCGAAUAAGAAUCGGGAAACCCUAUUUUGUGAUAACUCUGUGUGCUCAAACGUGAAGACCCUUCAUUCUCUUAGAGGUUCAAAAGCUUGCCUCCCUUGUCUCUCUGGAAAAAUUGGUGGUCAUCAAUUUGAAGGACAUCCCUUGUUACUGUCUUUCAAGGCAAUCUCUUAACUUUCUCAUAGUUUGAAAAUAAUUUAUUGGAUUUUGCCUCCAGUAUCGUUCCUAUUCAGACUACUCUUCUUGAGAAAAUGGUGGUUAUUUCUUUAGUUUUACUUGGUUCUCCAACUCUUUCUCUAUCGACUUCGAUUUGUGCAGUCCACCAAUUUAUCUAUAGAGUUGUUUUUGGACAGCCUCCUUUGUAUUUGUCUUUGCAGGUUACUUUUUAAUUCCUAUAUAUAUAUUUUUUCAAUGUUUGGUCUAAUUUUUUUAUUUUAUUUUAUGUAAUUUUUAAUCUUAAUUUAUGAAAAAAUUUCAAAUUAUAAACCUGUUCUUAGUAAAAAGAUUUUAUUUUUCGAUUUUAAUUGAUUGUGUUGUAUAAAUGACAAAUAUUAUUUCAUUGAAAAUUCCUUCUUAAAAUGAUAGAAAGUAGUAUUGCUUAAAAACCUUUCAUGGAGGGUAAUUGAUAAUUUUAUUCUUGUCGACCAAACCACCUUUUGCAUGUUUAAAUUGUAUGGAACUCUAAUGUCAAUCAAGGUAUUUGGUAGAUUUGGAUCGAUUGAGCUCCUGAAGGAUUAAUAUUCAUUUAAGCUUUAAAGAAUGUUGCACAAAGCAUAAAUCAGUUUGUAUUAGCUUUAUAUUGAUUUUUGUCCAGUUGUAAGGAAAAAAAUCAAUAGGCGGAAAAUAAUAAUUGGCAAGAAUAUGGGGACUGUUGAAAAACUCAUCUUUUUGCUGGAAUUAUUAGCAGUCUUAAAUGGGUUCUACGUCCAUUCAAAAAGAAAAGAAAAAAUUGAAAUGGGUUUUUAAAGAAAGGCUGGAAAUAUCUGAUUAAAGGGUUCUUGAUUUUGUGUUUCUGUUAUUUUGAAAUAUAAUUAGCUCUAAUAGGAUUAAGAGCUGAUAUAGAUAACUGAAAUGAUGUUUCUACAGGAAGCCGGACUAAAUUUGCGAAAAUUGAAACGAAGGGAUGCAUCGUGGAUCUGGCAAACAAUUUCUUUGACAUCACUUGCAUGCGAAUUGAGGUGCAUUUCCAUCACUAGUUUGACUCAAUAUUUGAUUUUGGAUAAAAAAUAGAUUCCAUUUCAUUUAUGAUGCAAGAUAUGAUUAGAGCUGUAGGUUCUUUCUUUUCUUGAAAUUGUUACCUCACUUUAUUUCAUUUAAUUUCCUAUCUAACAUUUGAGAGAAAAAAAUAUGUAUAACCGAUUCAUGUUUUAGAUUUGAAGGAACCUUUCAAUUUUCAGAAAGGGUGAUGUUGUAGGCCAGAAUUGGUCUAGGCAGAGCUCUAGGUGAACCUAUCAACUGGACAAAGAAUUAUAGCUCGCCUUUAACAGCCUUAUUCAUUAGACCGCAUUCUCGUGGAAGCAAAAUAUCAGGUAUGAUAUUUAGGGCGACUUAAUCUAAUCCACUUUCCUUACAAUAUG
rnacentral:lncRNA from 1 species